rnacentral:rRNA from 1 species
CAGCGGGCGGCAGCUACACAUGCAGUCGAGCGGAUGAAGGGAGCUUGCUCCUGGAUUCAGCGGCGGACGGGUGAGUAAUGCCUAGGAAUCUGCCUGGUAGUGGGGGAUAACGUCCGGAAACGGGCGCUAAUACCGCAUACGUCCUGAGGGAGAAAGUGGGGGAUCUUCGGACCUCACGCUAUCAGAUGAGCCUAGGUCGGAUUAGCUAGUUGGUGGGGUAAAGGCCUACCAAGGCGACGAUCCGUAACUGGUCUGAGAGGAUGAUCAGUCACACUGGAACUGAGACACGGUCCAGACUCCUACGGGAGGCAGCAGUGGGGAAUAUUGGACAAUGGGCGAAAGCCUGAUCCAGCCAUGCCGCGUGUGUGAAGAAGGUCUUCGGAUUGUAAAGCACUUUAAGUUGGGAGGAAGGGCAGUAAGUUAAUACCUUGCUGUUUUGACGUUACCAACAGAAUAAGCACCGGCUAACUUCGUGCCAGCAGCCGCGGUAAUACGAAGGGUGCAAGCGUUAAUCGGAAUUACUGGGCGUAAAGCGCGCGUAGGUGGUUCAGCAAGUUGGAUGUGAAAUCCCCGGGCUCAACCUGGGAACUGCAUCCAAAACUACUGAGCUAGAGUACGGUAGAGGGUGGUGGAAUUUCCUGUGUAGCGGUGAAAUGCGUAGAUAUAGGAAGGAACACCAGUGGCGAAGGCGACCACCUGGACUGAUACUGACACUGAGGUGCGAAAGCGUGGGGAGCAAACAGGAUUAGAUACCUAGAUUC